CUCGAUCUCAAAUCAAGUAAGACUACCCGCUGAACUUAAGCAUAUCAAUAAGCGGAGGAAAAGAAACUAACAAGGAUCCCCUCAGUAACGGCGAGUGAAGCGGGGUGAGCUCAAAUUUAAAAUCUGGUCGGUUUCCGAUCCGAGUUGUAGUUUAUAGAAGCGUUUUCGGUGGCAGCCUGGGUACAAAUCCUUUGGAACAGGGUAUCAUAGAGGGUGAGAAUCCCGUCUCUGACUCAGUGCAUGCUACUAUGUGAUACGUUUUCAAAGAGUCGAGUUGUUUGGGAAUGCAGCUCAAAAUGGGUGGUAAAUUUCAUCUAAGGCUAAAUACAGGCGAGAGACCGAUAGCGAACAAGUACCGUGAGGGAAAGAUGAAAAGAACUUUGAAAAGAGAGUUAAACAGUGCGUGAAAUUGUUGAAAGGGAAACGUUUGACACCAGUCAUGCGAAUGGGAAAUCAGUCUUUAACUAUUGGGGAGAGGCAUGGAUGUUGGACCGCAAGGCCAUGCUGUGUCUGAUCUCUGGUAGUUGGGAUGCACUUUUGCAUUUGCAGGUCAACAUCAGUUUUUUCUGCUGGACAAAACUCCAAGGGAAUGUGGCAGCUUUGGCUGUGUUAUAGCUCUGGAGCGAUACAGUGGGGAAGACUGAGGUCUUUGCAGCGCGUGCUCUCGGGCAAGGUCGACUGGGUGCUAUGAGGAAGUUCGGUGUACAAUGCAUGCAUUUUGCGUCGUGUCUUUUUUGUACUCGCUCAGCUCGAUU
rnacentral:rRNA from 1 species